GAACAUGCCAAAACAUAUUGGGCAUGGGCAAGGUUCACUCGGUAUAUUCACGCUGUACAAGCUUAAAUUCGGGGAGGGAGAAUCGCACUUGCCAUCCAUUUCAUUUUCACAAACAAAUCAAGGGAAGAAUUCAAUCCGAUUGCCUCCGCUGGUUCUGUUAAUCUGACUCGACCUCAGGUGUUAAUGAGGCCAGCCUGCCCAGACCAUCCAAAUGGCCCCUGUGCUUGAGGUGGCCAUUUUUCCAGUUCAAAACAUUAUAAAAUUAAUUUAUUCACUAAAAGAAAAUUCUACAAUUACCCCCAAACACCAUGACAUUUAUAUGUACGUACGUACAUAUGUAUGUACGUAUGUAUGUACAUAAUAAAAAUUUGUAAAUCCUCAAA